AAGCAACAAAGGUAAAUUGGAGUUUCAGUGUCAGAUUGUUUUAGUUGUAGACUGAGGUGCUAGUUAUUAGGCAGUAUUGAGGUAUGUGGGUCCUUGGUUAUCUUGACCAAGUAAGAUGCACGCAUUAGGAGGACUGAGAUUUGAAACAAGAAGUAUGAAACCCCAACCCUAAAUCUGGUUUGCAUAAAGACGUAGUUCUCGGCUUGGUUGAAAUGAACUCUGAUGUAGUUAGAUCGCAUAUUUGAAUUUCAGCUGAUCAAGGAGCAAGAAUGAAGCUUACUAUAGCAAGGAGCAUGUAAAUACAACCGAAACAAUCGCUAAACUCUUUCCUGUUAAUGCUAAGCACAUUUAUGUAACAUUGUUGUGUAAAGGCCAUCCGUUAUGUCUUGAUGGAUUCAUGACUUCAUGAUUUAAUUAUACUUUUUUACACUCCCAGUCAAAACUUUGGACACAUCUUCUCAUUUCAGAAAGAACAAAUUGUAAGUCUAAUCUUUUUUGGGGGUUGUGGGUCCACAAUGAAUUUUCUUUUCAUUGUGGUUUUGUAAUAUAUACCAUAAUAUAAAACCUAGAAGAACAAAUUGUUUUGAAAAUUGAUCUAUAUACAGCAGGUAUUUUUCCCUUUAAAUUUUGCAUUGCAAAAGUUACAAAAAUUGAUUUAAUAGUUUUAGUAACACUUGAACCUGUUUUUUUUUUUUUUCUUCCGUCCUUAACUCCUUUUUAAAGAGGAACCAAAACAACUAUUUGGUUGUGAUAUUUUACAUCACAAAAGUAUGAAUUUUGUUUUUGAUUACACUGUUUUUUUUUGUUUUUUUUUUUACCAAACAGGACUGCGAUCAUGAUCUAGUCCCUGACGAAAUGUCAAGUUUAGAAAAAUGUUUUGCAUGUGGAGGACCUUUUUCGCCUCUGAAAUGGAAUGGUGUGAGAUGUGAAGUUUGCUACCAGUCCUGGCACAAAAGAUGUUAUGUUAGCCACAAGGUGAACCUCACUGAACCUCUUCCAGAGGUCUUUAGUGAAGAUAGUUCAAGUGAGGGGGCUUCAUCAGAAGAGGAAUAUGUGCCAGAUUCUAUAGCUGACUCAGACAGCUCAUGGGACAACAAAUCAGAGCCUUUAAAUAUAAGUUGCAAACAAGUACAGAACUCUGAGAUCUCCAGCAGUCAAUCUGCUUGCAAAACGAAAAGACCUCGCCUAGAAAGUUUUUUAGAGAGAGUAGGACAAAGAAUUUCUGAAGAUGGAAUUGGCACAAGACAGCUCGAUGUAUCAGGGGUUAUUGCCACAGCAGAAAAGUCUGAUGCUGAAGGCAUUGUUGAUGACUCUGAUACUACGGCUGAAGAUUCCUUAAAAACAUCCUCCUCACUAAGAAACAAAACAUACUGCUACAUUUGUGGAAAACUACAGACAAAGUUUACACGUCAUUUAAAAACUCAUGAGAAAUCACAUGCAGAUGUUGCUCGAGUUUUAAGUCUUCCCAAGAAGUCCAAAGACCGUUUGAAAAUGCUUUCUAAGCUGCGAAACAAGGGAAACCACAGACAUAACUCGGAGGUC